AAAAACUUUAUUAUGAUAAAAAAAAUAUUAGAUAAAAGUUUAUUCAUGUAUAUACUAUAUAGAAAGGGUUAAUUAUGCUUUUGCCCUCAGUGGUGUUCAUUUGAUCAGUUUUGCCCUCAAUUGCGAAUCGUGCUCAGUUUUGUCACUAGUCAGUGCGCAACUACUAUGACGAAGUCAAACAGGCAGUUUUGAGUUCAUUUCGUCCGCCGACGUUAGUGGUAGUGGGUCCCGAUCUUACACGUGGGACCGUGUGGACGUGGGUCCGGAGCUGACAUGUGGGACCGUGCAACAACGUCCCCAAAUCAAAGCGGCCACUCGACGCCACUCUGUCCCGUCACCGCCCACCCGUCCUACGCCGCCGCCGCCACCAGACUAUGUGCGCUGGUUUUUUUUAAUGAAUUUGUUUUGAUCAUUUGAAUUCUGGUCAAAUCUAACUUUGAUCAACAUUUAAAGAAAUCUAAAACAUCAAAAUGAAAACUAACCCUGAAUGCUUCUUAGUCACUUCAAAAUGAAGCUGUGGUGCGAUAUUUGAAAAUUUCAUGUUUCAAACCUCAAACCACUUCUCUUCAUUUCAUACGUCAAUUUUUUGUCAUUUGAACAUAUGUAGUACUUGUUUAUCAACUUAAAUUGUUAGUAUAUGACAUAAGAAGACUAUGUACGCUGGUUUUUAAUUUUUUUAAUUUUUUAUGUCCAUUUCAAUUAUGGUCAAACCUAAUGUGCUAAAAAAGAGCUCCAAAGGUAGGGUAAACGGCCUCAUUUCUAAGCAAGGUUUUUUUUGACCUUGUCUAAAUCAGUCAAAUAACUUUCCUACACGUAUAUUCUAUACACACACACUGUAUAUUCUAUACACACACUAUGUGCGUUGAUUUUUCUUUUUUUGAGUUUGUUUUCCUCAUUUGAAUUCUGGUCAAACCUAACUUUGACCAAGAUUUAAACAAGUCUAAAACAUCAAAAUGAAAAAUUAAGCCUGGAUCCUUCUUAGUCACUCCUAAAUAAAGUUGUGGUGAGGUAUUUGAGGUGUUUGAAAUUUUUAUGAAAAAUGUGCUAAAAGAGCUCCAAAGGUAGGGUAAACGGCCUCAUUUCUAAGCAAGGUUUUUUCGACCUUGUCUAAAUCAGUCAAAUAACUUUCCUACAAAUAUAUUCUAUAUAUACAAACUAUGUGCGCUGCUUUUCCUUUUUUUGAAUUUUUUUUGCUCACUUAAAUUCUGAUCAAACUUAACUUUGAUCAAGAUUUAAACAAGUCUAAAGCAUCAAAAUAAAAAAAAUCAAGCCUGGAUCCUUCUUAGUCACUCCAAAAUCGUUAGUAUAUGACAUAAAAGACUAUGUGCGCUGGUUUUCAUUUUUAUGAUUUUUUUUUUCAUUUUUAAUGCCCAUUUCAAUUCUGGUCAAACCUAACUGUGACCAACAUUUAAACAAGUUUAAAACGUGAAAAUGAAAAAACUAACUCUGUAUCCUUCUUUGCACUCCAAAAUGAAGUUGUGGUGAGAUUUUUGAAUUUUCAUGUUCAUUUCCACAAAACACUUCUUUUCACUUCAUACAAAAGAGUUCGAGAUACUUGAAAUAUCACAUAACACACAUGGACUUGUCGUUUUAAUGUAUGUAGACCUUGUUUAUCAACUUAGUAUAUGACAUAAGAACACUAUGUGCGCAUGUUUUUGAUUUUUUAAAUUUUUUUAUGCCCGUUUGGAUUCUGGUCAAACCUAACUUUGACCAACAUUUAAACAAGUUUAAAACAUGAAAAUGAAAAAACUAACCCUGGAUCCUUCUUAGUUACUUCAAAAUGAAGUUGUGGUGAGGUUUCUGAAAUUUUCAUGUUUAUUUCACCAAAACACUUCUCUUCACUUCAUACAAGAGAGUUUGAAAUACUUGAGAUAUUACAUAAGACAAAUGGACUUGUCGUUUUAAUAUAUGUAGACCUUGUUUAUCAACUUAAAUC